GCUGAAGUGGCGGAACUGGCAGACGCGCAUGUUUCAGGGACAUGUGGGCGUCAGCCCGUGUGGGUUCGAAUCCCACCUUCAGCACCA
rnacentral:tRNA from 1 species